GCGACCCCAGGUCAGGCGGGACUACCCGCUGAAUUUAAGCAUAUAAAUAAGCGGAGGAGAAGAAACUUACAAGGAUUCCCCUAGUAACGGCGA
rnacentral:rRNA from 3 species